CCACCCGAAAUCAGCGGAUCCAGGUGCAGGGUUGGUUUUUCUGGAGGUGACUCCCAUUGUUCCUCUCCCCCCUCGCACAGCCAGGCCGAAUGCAUGGAAGGGUUCUGUGCUCCAGACUGCACAGAAGGGGUCUGGAGAAUGAACACCAUCCCCCUGGAGAUGCACAAGGACACCAGACACCAACCCUCUGCCUGUCAGUUGCUGUUCCACCCAUGAUCUUCCAUCCAGGAGCACCUUCCUCCACUCCAUGUCCCUCAUCGAGACCCUGAGUCACCAAAG
rnacentral:lncRNA from 12 species